GACAGAGGUGCCAAGCGUUAGGCGGAAUCACUGGGCUUAAAGCGUGUGUAGGCGGAAUUGUAAGUACCUUGUGAAAUCCCACGGCUCAACCGUGGAACUGCUGGGCAUACUGCGUUUCUUGAGCCAGUCAGGGGUCGUCGGAACAAACGGUGGAGCGGUGAAAUGCGUAGAUAUCGUUUGGAACGCCAAAGGCGAAAGCAGACGACUGGGACUGAGCUGACGCUGAGACACGAAAGCCAGGGGAGCAAACGGG
rnacentral:rRNA from 1 species